GGUACAGCAGCUCGUAGCAAGCGCUGUGGCUAAUUCCAGACCAAAGGGGAAGCAGGAUAAGAGGAAAUUUAUGAGUAAGCUCUUGAAGUAAUGAAACGAAAGUAAUGCUGAUUGGCCUCAUUUGCAGCAGUUCAAAAGCUGAUCAGCAUCGCUGAAGUAGUGAAGGAUCAACUGACAAUCAUUUCCGUGGUGAGGAGCGGAGCUGACCCGCUGAACACGGCCCGGGGGGUCCGGGCCCGGGGGCCACAGCUGCUCCCAAAUCCCCUCUCUGCAUCACCCGCUCACCUGCUGGCCCUGCCAGGGCAGCUCCCUUGGGAAACGGGGCCGGAGCAGUUCACGGGGCGCUGUAAAAUGGGGAGACAGAGCUGGAGAGUGGGCAGUGCCCAGAGACACCUCCCAGGAGCUGAGCACCAUGCAUGGAAAGCACUGCCCCAGGGCAAAGAGGAACCUGUGACCAGGUGGGCUUCACAAGGACAGGACCUGGGCUGAGAUCCCAGCAAGAGCUCCUGUCCUGGGAGCUGGAGGGGCUGUGGCAGCCCGGGGGACCAUGGCCCCUGCAGCACAUGAUCUUCCCUGUGCACAAUCACGGGAGCCAGGAACCGACAAACCCACAUGAGAGCUGCUGGAUCUUCGACUGCCCUGGAGCCUGUAUUUAGGAUAACAACGGUUCCUCUUUUCCUCUUUUUCUGCUUCAUCUGCCUGCCGGGGCAAAACUGAGCCCGAGCCGCCCUGCGCUGUCCGCGCUGCUCCGGGAGCCGUGUCCCCGGCGCUCUGCCCUGGGGACGCGGCUGCUGCGGCUGGGACCGGGCGCGCUGGGACCGCGGGGCUGGGUUUAACUACAGCCACACGGCAAACCCAGACAGGGCACCGUCAGAAUUCAGCGGCUGCCAAGCGUAUCUGGGGACCUGCGGGGUGAUGGCAGAUGGCGGAAGGAGUUUCUUUAUAAACUGAGAAUGCAGACGUGGAA